rnacentral:rRNA from 1 species
UACGUAGGAGGCGAGCGUUGUCCGGAGUUACUGGGCGUAAAGAGUGCGCAGGUGGCCGUGCGCGUGGGGAGUGAAAGCCCGCUGCUUAACGGCGGGUUGGCUUCCGGUACGGGCAUCGCUGGAGUGCGGCAGGGGAGACUGGAAUUCCUGGUGUAGCGGUGGAAUGCGCAGAUAUCAGGAGGAACACCGGUGGCGAAGGCGGGUCUCUGGGCCGUUACUGACGCUGAGGAGCGAAAGCGUGGGGAGCGAACAGG